ensembl:lncRNA
GAAAUGUUUUGCAUGACUUCACAUGUAUAAUGAAUAUCGUUAUUGCCUGCCUUCUCAAGAAGCUGGGGAAAGAUGGGAGGAAUGGAGAGUUGCCUUUGCGUAGCUGUCUCGAUUCCUGGAAUAUACUCUUUUCAUUUCCAUUGCCUAAAUUGUGGCAAGAUUCAGGCCAUCUGCAACUUCCUCCAGGAAGCAAUUCCUGAUUCCCCUAGUGGUUUGGGGCCCCUGAACCCCCUUCAAAUGAUCAGGUUGGGCUUAAUGAUGUUUGUGGGGUUGGACUAGAUUGGAAUUGGAUAACUGUUGAACCACCCGAGUGCUGCACGAAUACCCAAGAAUUACUGCAAAAUCCAGAGGCCUCCAAUAUGCUGAGUAGAUCUUCCAUGUAGUGGACAUAGAUAAAAUUCACAGGUGAGGAGGAUGUAAAUCAAUGACCUGCACUGGGGAAGGGAGCAUCACAUGGAAGUAUCAAAGUUAAUACAUUUGGGUGUCUCAGACAAAGAUGAAAAGCAGAUAUCCCAUGAGAAGAUACCUUCCUCUAUUUCUUUGCAGAGGUGUGGGGACUAUAUGUGGAACACUGUAUAUAGCAUCAGACUUUUUUUGGAGAUAUUAUUUGGUUGUGAUGAAUCAUUUUUCACUUUUUUAUUCUUUGUAAUAAAGAAAAGUUCUCUGAGAGAGAAUGUAGGGUGGGAUGUAGUGGGAAAUAUAGGUAAUGUAAAAACAAAACAUACCAAUGAAUAUUUAUUAGAAAAAAUUAAAUAAAAUUAGUUGUUCCUUGCCCUGUUGUUGGUUUUAAAAUAAAUUGUAGAAGUUUUUCCUCCUUCCUCCCACUCUAUCAUAUAGAAACUGCAUGUUGCCUUAGUUGAUCCCUUUGGUAAAAGAUGAGGGAGGAAGGAGGGAAAUUGAAAGAGAGAGAGAGAGAGAGAGAGAGAGACAGAGAGACAGAGAGACAGGGAAAAGGGACAAGAAAUAGAGAGAGAUAGAGACAGAGGAGAGACAGAGACAGAGAAACAGAGAAGCAGGGACAGAAACAGAGAAACAGAAAGAGAGAGAGAGAGAGAGAGAGAGAGAGAGAGAGAGAGAGAGAGAGAGAGAGAAAGAGAGACAGAGAGACAGAAAGACUUUCAUAUUCCCCAGACUUUAAGACCCUUAUAGCAGGGCUAUAAGCAAGCAAGAACAGGGGAAGGAACUCACAUGGUAAGUCCAGUGGUCAGUGGGAGGUACUGGCCCUGGAAGUGCUGGUUUCCCUACAACCAAGAUUCUGUCACCCUCCCUAUUGGAAAUGCCCUGUCAUGGGGAGGAGACAUAGUUGACCUGAUGAACCAUCAAGGCCAGCAUUGAGCUCUCCACUCAACAAUAUCCAGCUGGAGAUCUAAGCUGAUCCCAGCCAGGAUCAAACUAGCCUUGCAAAUACCCACUGGCCCAGGGCAAUGAUUAUAUGAAGGCUGCUGCCCUCACUUGACCAGAUUAUAUGUGGGGAGGGUGAAAGAGAGUACACAUGAUUAAAAAGUAAGACAUUUGUUCUUAAGUCCCCCAGGGUAAAUUAAAACAUAUUAGUAUCACACAAAAAACAAUUAAGAAUCUAGGCAAAGUGAAAUUUGCUUAGACGAUCUGACUGAAUCUGAAUGAUAACAGGAUUUCAGGUAUAGAGUGAGAAGGGACCUUAGUUCAAUCUAGUUUAACCACCUCGUUUUGUGAGGAAACGGGAUCAGAGAGACAAAUUCUGGAAGAAAAAACUAUCAAGGUCACAGUAAUAUACUGGAAAGUCUCAUACUUGGAGUAGCCGAUUCCUAGGUUUCAGCUUCCAGCUAUGGGACCUCGGGCAAUCAGAGCCUCUCUGAGUCCUACUAUCUUUAUUUUAAAAAUGGGAGUAAGGUGUGUAAAGUGCUUUGAAAACCUUAAAAUGUUCUAUAAACAAAAUCUGUUAUUAUGGAGAGAAAAUUGGAGGCCAGGCCAAGUGAGGAUGGAAGGAAUGGGGUCACGUUAGCCCAGAGAACAAAAGACAGGGGGAGGGGGCUCUCCCUGAAGGCUGGCUUCCAUUAUUGGAAAAAAGGCUUUCUUGUGGGAUCUCAGAAGGACCUUAGAGAUCAUCUAGUCUAACUUCAUUUUACAGAUGAGAGAAUUGCGGCCCAGAGAGGGGACUGGCUUGUCCAAAGGGCCAGACAAAAGCUUUCUGACUUAAAAUCAGCUACUUUUCUAUGUCAUCCUUAGACUUGCUCUGAUGGACCUCAGUCAUUGCCCGAAGAAAUGGGUGGAAACCACAGAGAGGCAGAUUGAAAUCCAACAUAAGAAAAGCUUUCUAAGACAGUUCCAUCUGUCCCCAAAUGUCCAUUUGCUGGAGCUACCCUACCCCUGGAGGUCUUCAAGCAGACUCGUGAUAAGCUUGUAUUAGGAACGUUAGAGAGGAAUUCUUGGCUCAGGUGGAGUGGCCCCAGAGUUCCCUUCCGAGGUUGGCCA